UACAGAGGGUGCAAGCGUUAAUCGGAAUUACUGGGCGUAAAGCGUGCGUAGACGGUUAUGUAAGUCAGAUGUGAAAGCCCCGGGCUCAACCUGGGGAAUUGCAUUUGAGACUGCAUAGCUAGGGUGCGGAAGAGGGAAGCGGAAUUUCCGGUGUAGCGGUGAAAUGCGUAGAUAUCGGAAGGAACACCAGUGGCGAAAGCGGCUUCCUGGUCCAGCACCGACGUUCAGGCACGAAAGCGUGGGGAGC
rnacentral:rRNA from 1 species